GGGGGCAACCCUGACGGAGCAAUACCGCGUGCGGGAGGACGGCCUGUGGGUUGUAAACCGCUUUUCUCAGGGAAGAAGACCUGACGGUACCUGAGGAAUCAGCAUCGGCUAACUCCGUGCCAGCAGCCGCGGUAAUACGGAGGAGGCAAGCGUUAUCCGGAAUGAUUGGGCGUAAAGCGUUCGUAGGUGGCAAUUCAAGUCUGCUGUCAAAGACAGUAGCUCAACUACUGCAAGGCAGUGGAAACUGAAUAGCUAGAGUGCGGUAGGGGCAGAGGGAAUUCCCGGUGUAGCGGUGAAAUGCGUAGAGAUCGGGAAGAACACCGGUGGCGAAAGCGCUCUGCUGGACGGCAACUGACACUCAGGGACGAAAGCUAGGGGAGCGAAUGGGAUUAGAUACCCCAGUAGUC
rnacentral:rRNA from 1 species